AAGGAUGUAUUUGCUUCCCCUUCCACCAUGAUGGGGCUCUCAAACACACCAAAGCCUGCUAAGGCUCCAGCUCUCUCUAUGAAGCAAGACACCCCUGUGUUCAGUGGCAUUUGGCAAGGACCCUGAGGUCACAGCCUGGUUUUGUGAUGUGGUGAUAACGACUUUAAGUGGUGAACGCCAAAGAUUUUAUAUUCUGUGUGCAAAUCAUGAUGGAUCUAAUGGCACAGCAUGUAAAAUUUCUCAAGUAUUGCUUUGCCACCUCCACUGCUCAUUAAUUUAACUUGGUAGGAGUUUCUUGAUGGAAGACAAUCAAACAUUUUUAUGAAUGAGUUGCAAAUACUAUUACACUGAUUCUUUGGAAAAUGUAAUUCUUAUUGUUUUAUAAGAAAACAGUCAUCACCUGCAAUAGACUGAUGUUUGUGCUCCCCUCACCCCCAACCAAAUUUAUAUGUUGAAACGUUGAAAUUCUAACCACUGGUGUGUAUCAGGAGGUGGGACGUUUGGAAGGAAAUAAGGUCAUGAGGGUGGAGCCUUCAUGAAUGGGAUUAGUGUCCUUAUAAAAGGGGACCCCAGAGAGCUCUCUGGCCCUCCUUCUGCUUUGUGAGAAUACAGCAAGAAGAUGGCUGUGUCUGAACCAGGAAGUGGCCCCUCAGACACUGACUUUGCUAGCACCUUGCUCUUAGACUCCCCAUCCUCCAGAACUAUGAGAAAUAAAUCUGUUGUUGAAGCCA